rnacentral:rRNA from 1 species
UGAGGAAUAUUGGUCAAUGGGCGGAAGCCUGAACCAGCCAUGCCGCGUGCAGGAAGGAGGCCCUACGGGUUGUAAACUGCUUUUACCCGGAAAGAAACCGCCCCCUGUGGGGGGCGUUGCCGGUACCGGGGGAAAAAGGAUCGGCUAACUCCGUGCCAGCAGCCGCGGUAAUACGGAGGAUCCGGGCGUUAUCCGGAAUUACUGGGUUUAAAGGGUGCGUAGGCGGGGCUUUAAGCCGGCGGUGAAAUGCAGCGGCUCAACCGCUGGACUGCCGUUGGGACUGGAACUCUUAGUAACGGUCGUGGCGAGUAGAACUCGUGAUGUAGCGGUGAAAUGCAUAGAUAUCA